UAUAUAAGAUUCGGCACAGCCGAAUAUAGCACUCUUACUUGUUUUGUAUAACAUUUAAAUGUGUUAUCAAUAUACCCGAUAUUUUUUAAUGGUUGGUAUUUAUUAUUAUUUUUUUUUAGAAUAAAUUAUCGCCAACAUUUCAAGAUCCAUUAGAAACCUGUAAUAGUAAUGAAAAUAUACUGCCUGUUUUACAAGAAAGCAAGGAAGAAAUUGAAUUUAAAAUAAAUAACGGUGGAAAUAAAGAACUUUUCGAGGAUAUAAACACUAAUAAUUAUUCAGAUGAUGAAUAUGUUGAAGAUAGUUCUGUAAUAAGUGGAGAUGAUAAUUUUACAGAGAGCGACAACAAUAUUGAAGAUAAUACUGAUGAAGAGUUAGUAGAAG